GCCUGAGUCUGAGCCUGGUUCCUCUAAUUAGCCACUUCCUGAGGUGGUGGAUUGAAGAGUAAAGGUGUGUUAAUUUCCUAGAAAGGCGAGGAGACAAAGAGGAAGGAUUUCUGAAGGAUUUCAGAAGGAUUUCUGGUGCAGAGGACCAACCUGCGCGUGGCGGUUGCCAUAGAAUCCUGACGCUAUUGUGGCGACUGUGACGACACUCUAAAGGAGACCGACUUGCUGUGGUUCCAGAGUAGGUUCCACCAACAGAAUCCAGACAGCUCUUUCUCUGGUGACUGAGCUCAUAUCAGAUUUCUGAAGAAGACAGUUUCUGAGGAUGUGGGUCAUGAAGGCUACUGAAGCUUCUGCUGUGGAUUCGAAGGGCAGCAGUGCUCAGGAGACCCCUGACACUUCCAUUCCCGGCCUGCUCCAUUGGAAGUGUCAUCUCAGAUGAUCCUUAAAUUUACACAUUCUGAGGCCUAUCACAGAGUUAUCAGAUAGAGCAACUAAAAAUAUAUGAUGUUCAGGUGAAAGGUGUCAUAUUCUACUACUUGGGCCUUAUUCAGUGGAAAUUACUUCAGAAGAGAAAGCAUUCUCUAGCUGAACAUUCUCUGUGCAAAGUGUGUAAGGUGAUUGUAACUGGCUACCUGUAGCUAUUGAGCAAAUGCAUCAUGGUCCAGAAGUGAAGGAAAGGAAUUCUCAGCAUGGCAUCCUUCAUUCCAUCCUGAAGAAUGACUUCUAAAAAAGAAAUUGUUGGUACAAAGGGUGUGCACCUUUGGAGCCCUCUAUUAAACAUCUGAGAAGGGUGUGGAUGCUGAAUGCCAGAACCAGGAGCUCAUAGAGAAGAACCAAGUGUGGUGUGGAGUCUGCUAGACAGGCUACUGGAACAAGAGUGAACAGACCAUGGGGACACUAUAGAGCAGUGGGUCCUGAAUUCUAUUUGUGGAUCUAGACUCUAGACAUUGCUGCAGUUGGAAGAUGUGGAAGUGAUCACAUGUACUGGCUCACAUGAUUUUGGAGGGUAGAAUUCCCAUAUCUGCAGCAUGGGACUGACAGACUGUACACAAGGGGAGAUCCAGUGCUGCAGUUCAAGUCUGAAGGCCAUCUGCUUUUCUGAUUUCCUUCUUACUUGAAGGUGGCGGCCUGAAGAGUGAAGGUGUUUUGACUUCAGAGAAAGAAAGGGGACUGAGAGGAGGGCCGUGCAGAGGCAUUUCCGAUGUGGAGGACGAACCUUUGCAACCCAGUUGCCAUAGAAACCUGACGUCAUUAUGGUGACUGUGACAACAUUCUAAAGGAGACCUACUUGCGCUGGUUGGAGAGCAGGACUGAGCCUCCAAAUAUUUGGACUCUGGCUAGGGUGUGGGUGCACUGCAGUGGGAGCUGAGCCUCACUGUGGUGUGGGGAGAUGAAGGGAUUCCAGACCCAAGUCACCUGGUUCCCGCUCUGGAACUCGGUGCCCCGCUGACUCAAGAGGGAGAGAGAUGUGGGACCCUCCUGGCCCCAGGCAGCAUGAUGUCCUGUGUGGUUAUUGAGGGAUCCUUCAUGCUGGUAUGAAUUUAGACCACUUCUUAUUCCUCUUCAUAUUUGUUGGUAGAGGAAGAGAAAUGAGUAAAAGAGAAGGAAGAGAAGCCCAUUGCACCUUCUGGUUGUUGGGAUCACUUCCCAGUAGUACCAGUGCCAUUGGUCACUGACCCAGUGCCUAGCAUGGCACCAGGCACACAGUUACUCUGAGGCACAGUGACUUGUGGUUCUGUUUCUCCCUGGGAAGCUCCUGGUUGGACUCAUAUCAAGUGUCUGAAGGAUGCAGUUUCUGAGGAUCUGAGUGGUGAUGGCUGCUGAAGCUUCUACUCCACAUCUGAAUGCUGCAGUGCUCAGGAGACCCCCACACUUCCACCCCUGGUGGGAUAUGAGUCCUGGUUCAAGUGAGUUCACAGAUCUAAACAUAAACCUGUUGUAUGUUCACAAAAUCAUCUAAAAGUAAACAAGCACUUUUGACAAUGUUGUUGGAGAAUAAAAUGGAGUUUUUGUCCCCCCAUUGGCAGUUUAUAUGCAUUGUUGUAGCCCGUGAGGCUCAUCUUAAAGAUGGCUUCUUAGUGUAAAAGCAAUUAAUACUGCAACUUGUGGUAGUAACUUGAUAUUUAAUGUAUAUUCUCAAUAAUUUUCAUAGUUUUUGAUUGUACAAAUAAAAAAAGCUGGUUAUUAUCAAAAUCUUCAGAUGGGUAUUGAAAUAUGCUGUUUUUCCACCUCUUUAUCUGUUAUGAAAUGGAUUUUGUAGAAACCAAUAAUUAUCCAAGGAUUAGUUUAAAAUGUGAUUAAUUUUUACUAUUUUCAAAAAUAAUAAUUAUAAUAGAAUUCAUCCUAUUGUGACUUAGAGCCUUGUUCUCUAAAAUAACUACAUAUCCUGGUUAUUUUAUCACUUGUAACAUUUCAGUUUUGUCUUUCAGAAAGAAAUGUGCAUCAGUUUUCCCUUUUUAGAUAGACCUCAUUGUAAGUGAUUGUUUCUAUUUUGGUCAUAUACUGUGUGAACAACUAGACAAGACAUAGUGUCUGUCAAAAUGACUGGAUCCAUUCCAAGUGUUCUGAGGAUUCUCCACACUGCUUUCCAGAGAAGCUGCACCAAUUUGUGUGUCCACCAGCAGUGUAAAAGUGUGCCUUUUUCCCCACAUUCAU